AUUGUGCAAAAUCCACAGACAAACCCUUCCUCUUCCUCUACUUUGUUUCCUCCGUUUCACUAAUCUUUUACAUUCUUACAAUCAAUUCCCUCCCCACUCCUGUGCAAGUUUAAUCUCAUUAAUGGAUUAUUUUUGAUAUCUCCGUCUGAGAUCCUAUAUAAAUCUCCAACUUUUUUUUUUAAUUUGUAUCCUACCUGUGAACCUGUAAAUAUACUAUAAACCGAUUCCGAUGGCAACUCCAGAAUUUGUGUCCACUAUCACUGAAGCCCCUCCAUUGCGACUUCUCAAAUUCACUUAUAGGAGCUGAAGGCUGUCCGUCCGCCUCAGAGGGACUGUUCGAAUGAGACUACUGAGGCCCUUUAUGUGAAAAGACGGUGAGCUGAUGGUGAUUGACAUGCUGCUUAUUAAUGCGAAGGUUAGCCGGAACAUUAUUUCAAUUUUUAGUUUUCGAUUUAGAGUUCUCUCUAACAUUUGCUAUAACUGAUUCGUUAUUAUUCUCCCUACAUGAUCUGAGUGCUUUUGAUGUUCCAAGAAUCAACCCAAAAUUACUGAAAGAUCAUUGUGCAAGCCAAAAGGGGGAAAGAAAAGAUCAUUGUAUCAAGAACCAUGGGUGACUACUACAGCAGUAACACGUUAGACAUAUCUCUGAGCAGUUUGGCACGUGCCUGAGCAAGUUGAACUUGCUUAGAGGCUUUGAUUCCUUCCUUUAUAAGGCUUCUGUCUGUGGAUAGCUUCGAGAUAUAGCUCACCAAGGCAGAUCUCAGUUCCUCAUAGAGCGCAGAGGUCUCCAGUAUCUCCUCAAAAUCCGAACGAGUCACGAGCUCACACGCCAUUAUACCACGAAACUGUUUUAGGAUUACUUUCAGCUUCUCUACCGUGUUUGAAGAUUCCUUAGAAGAGGCUUUAAUUUUCCAAGGACAUGGAAAUUGUCAAAGUCUUAAAGAAACCUGGGAAGCGGAUUCUUCAUUGAUGAUCUUAUCUAUGUCAUAUUUUGGUAUAAAGAUGGAAGCAUCCUCGUCUACCUUAAAUGGUUCUAUUGAUGCUAUAUAUGGACAUCAAAUGUUUUUAAGAAUAAAAGUGGAGGUAAGCCUGACUGUGCAAUUUCUAGAGAUCCUAGCCUCCACGAGGGACCAUUGCCUUUCUUCAAACCACCACAAGUGCUACACUGCCGCCGCCCCGACUUUCCGUUGAUGCAGCUGAGGAGAAAUAAUUCCGCCAAGCAAAAUGUUCUAUAUUUUAUAUUUUUAGCUAAAAAUGUAUAUUUUUGUUUUCAAAAAUUAUCAUGUCAUAAACGGAAAUGGUAUGUGGUUAUAUUUUCUUACAUAUAACUACAUUUAUCAAAAUGAUCCACCUCAUUAUUUUUUUUUUAAACAGAGGCCAUCGAUGAAGUUUA